GUCGUUGAUUUCACACUGCCGAGAAAAGCCUCUAGAUAGAAAAUAGGUGCCCGUACCGCAAACCGACACAGGUAGUCAAGAUGAGAAUUCUAAGGUGAGCGAGCGAACUCUCGUUAAGGAACUCGGCAAAAUGACCCCGUAACUUCGGGAGAAGGGGUGCUCUUUAGGGUUAACGCCCAGAAGAGCCGCAGUGAAUAGGCCCAAGCGACUGUUUAUCAAAAACACAGGUCUCUGCUAAACCGUAAGGUGAUGUAUAGGGGCUGACGCCUGCCCGGUGCUGGAAGGUUAAGAGGAGUGGUUAGCUUCUGCGAAGCUACGAAUCGAAGCCCCAGUAAACGGCGGCCGUAACUAUAACGGUCCUAAGGUAGCGAAAUUCCUUGUCGGGUAAGUUCCGACCCGCACGAAAGGCGUAACGAUUUGGGCACUGUCUCAACGAGAGACUCGGUGAAAUCAUAGUACCUGUGAAGAUGCAGGUUACCCGCGACAGGACGGAAAGACCCCGUGGAGCUUUACUGUAGCCUGAUAUUGAAAUUCGGCACAGCUUGUACAGGAUAGGUAGGAGCCUUUGAAACGUGAGCGCUAGCUUACGUGGAGGCGCUGGUGGGAUACUACCCUAGCUGUGUUGGCUUUCUAACCCGCACCACUUAUCGUGGUGGGAGACAGUGUCAGGCGGGCAGUUUGACUGGGGCGGUCGCCUCCUAAAAGGUAACGGAGGCGCUCAAAGGUUCCCUCAGAAUGGUUGGAAAUCAUUCAUAGAGUGUAAAGGCAUAAGGGAGCUUGACUGCGAGACCUACAAGUCGAGCAGGGUCGAAAGACGGACUUAGUGAUCCGGUGGUUCCGCAUGGAAGGGCCAUCGCUCAACGGAUAAAAGCUACCCCGGGGAUAACAGGCUUAUCUCCCCCAAGAGUUCACAUCGACGGGGAGGUUUGGCACCUCGAUGUCGGCUCAUCGCAUCCUGGGGCUGUAGUCGGUCCCAAGGGUUGGGCUGUUCGCCCAUUAAAGCGGUACGCGAGCUGGGUUCAGAACGUCGUGAGACAGUUCGGUCCCUAUCCGUCGUGGGCGUAGGAAAUUUGAGAGGAGCUGUCCUUAGUACGAGAGGACCGGGAUGGACAUACCUCUGGUGUACCAGUUGUCGUGCCAACGGCAUAGCUGGGUAGCUAUGUGUGGACGGGAUAAGUGCUGAAAGCAUCUAAGCAUGAAGCCCCCCUCAAGAUGAGAUUUCCCAACUUCGGUUAUAAGAUCCCUCAAAGAUGAUGAGGUUAAUAGGUUCGAGGUGGAAGCAUGGUGACAUGUGGAGCUGACGAAUACUAA
rnacentral:rRNA from 1 species